GACUCGGUUGGGCGGUCCGCUUAACGGCGUGUACUGUCUGACUGGGCCUUACCUCUUGGUGAGCCAGUGUGCCCUUUAUUGGUGUGCAUUGGGGAACCAGGACUUUUACCUUGAGAAAAUUAGAGUGUUCAACGCAGGCUAUUGCUGUGAAUACAUUAGCAUGGAAUAAUGGAAUAGGAC
rnacentral:rRNA from 1 species